AUUGAACGCUGGCGGCAUGCCUUACACAUGCAAGUCGAACGGUAACAGGUCUUCGGAUGCUGGCGAGUGGCGAACGGGUGAGUAAUACAUCGGAACGUGCCUAGUGGUGGGGGAUAACUACUCGAAAGAGUGGCUAAUACCGCAUGAGAUCUACGGAUGAAAGCAGGGGAUCGCAAGACCUUGUGCUACUAGAGCGGCCGAUGGCAGAUUAGGUAGUUGGUGGGAUAAAAGCUUACCAAGCCGACGAUCUGUAGCUGGUCUGAGAGGACGAUCAGCCACACUGGGACUGAGACACGGCCCAGACUCCUACGGGAGGCAGCAGUGGGGAAUUUUGGACAAUGGGCGAAAGCCUGAUCCAGCAAUGCCGCGUGCAGGAUGAAGGCCUUCGGGUUGUAAACUGCUUUUGUACGGAACGAAAAGCCCCGGGUUAAUACCCUGGGGUCAUGACGGUACCGUAAGAAUAAGCACCGGCUAACUACGUGCCAGCAGCCGCAGUAA
rnacentral:rRNA from 1 species